GCCUGGUUGGCUCAGUGGUUGAGCAUCUGCCUUUGGCUCAGGGCAUGACCCUGGGUCCCGGGAUCCAGUCCUGCAUCAGGCU
rnacentral:tRNA from 1 species